rnacentral:miRNA from 2 species
AAGCCAAGGAUGAAUUGCCGG